rnacentral:sRNA from 1 species
AGAUCGGAGAGGGCACAGGGCCAGGGACUCUGGCCAGACAUAGGCCCAGGUCUGUGGCUGGCCAGCUGCAGCUGUGGGGCCCGGCAUGUGUCUCAACAUGGCCCUGGAGCUCUACAUGGACCUGCUGUCAGCACCCUGCCGUGCCGUCUACAUCUUCUCAAAGAAGCAUGACAUCCGGUUCAACUUUCAGUUUGUGGAUCUGCUGAAAGGUCAGCUCCCACUGCUGCCUGGCAGGCCCGGUCCUGGGGGGAGGCAGGGCACACAGAUUGGGGCUUUUUUUUUUCUUUUUCUUUUUGGUAGAGCCUCGCUCUGUCACCCAGGCUGGAGUGCAGUGGUGCUAUCUUGGCUCACUGCAGUCUCCACUGGGUUCAAGUGAUUCUCCCAGCUCAGCCUCCCAAGUUCCUGGGUUUAUAGGCACACGCCACCACGCCAGGCUCAUUUUUUAUAUUUUUAGUCGAGAUGGAGUUUCACCAUGUUGGCCAGGCUGGUCUCGAACCCCUGACCAAAAGUGAUCUGCCCCACCUCAGCCUCCAAAGGCUGGAAUUACAGGCGUCAGCCACCAUGCUCAGACUGAUAGGGGCAUUUCUGAGAAGCAGGGACAGAGACAAGGGAAUCACCCUAGAGGUCCACAGGGAAGGAAAAGUUGCCAGGGGGCUUGUAGGCCACAUUCCUGUCUAGCCUGCCUAAGCCACUCUCCACUAAUGACAGUCCCCACGCCACAGAUGAACAGGCUUUUCGAGGAGAAGGGGGAAGGAACAGCAGCUGGGAGUCCCUGGGCUCCCACCAGGCACCCUGGCUUCCUUGUGGGAUUCUAGGACCUUGUGAACUCAGCACCUGCCCACCAGGUUGGCAAAGGGCGCAGAAGUGCACAGUCCGUCUACACUCAUCCUCCCCAGUGUUCAGAAAGGCUCAGGGCUCCACUGAUCCCCAGUGAGAGUCAGAGGGGUGGGCUCCAACUCCAUCCCCAGCACAGAGGGACUACAAAAGCUCAGCCUGCAAAAGCAGAAGCCUCUAGAACACAGAGGAAGAGAUGGGGAAGCUUUGGAAAUGAACGGGGUGUGAGUGGAGCCCCCAGAAAUGUUUCCAACUGGAGGCAGCUGGUCCAGGAAGAGUUUCAGUUCCUGACCCCACAUCAGGUUCCCUGUUCAGAUGACCCUGAUUGUGUCCCACAGGCUCCCCUUUCAAUGUCCAGCUGUGUGCUGGGCCUGGCUUCCUUAAAGAGGGGACAGAGUGAGGACCAUGGGAUUGCGGAUGGGACCCAGGCCCUCAGGGCUUCAGGUCACCACCACAGCAAAGAAUACAUUGACAUCAACCCCCUCAGGAAGCUGCCCAGCCUCAAAGAUGGGAAAUUUAUCUUAAGUGAAAG